rnacentral:rRNA from 1 species
GAUGAACGCUGGCGGCGUGCCUAAUACAUGCCAGUCGAGCGAACAGACGAGGAGCUUGCUCGCCUGACGUUAUCGGCGGACGGGUGCGUACCACGUGGAUAACAUACCUAUAAGACUGGGAUAACUUCGGGAAACCGGAGCUAAUACCGGAUAAUAUAUUGAACCGCAUGGUUCAAUAGUGAAAGACGGUUUUGCUGUGACUUAUAGAUGGCUCCGCGCCGCAUUAGCUAGUUGGUAAGGUGACGGCUUACCAAGGCAACGAUGCGUAGCCGACCUGAGAGGGAGAUCGGCCACACGGGAGCUGAGACUCAGUCCAGACUCCGGCGGGAGGCAGCAGUAGAGAAUCUUCCGCAAUGGGCGAAAGCCUGACGGAGCAACGCCGCGUGAGUGAUGAAGGUCUUCGGAUCGUAAAACUCUGUUAUUAGGGAAGAACAAAUGUGUAAGUAACUGUGCACGUCUUGACGGUACCUAAUCAGAAAGCCACGGCUAACUACGUG